UACAGAGGUGCUCAAGCGUUUGUUCGGAUUCAUUGGGGCGUAAAGGGUGCGUAGGCGGCGUCGGUAAGUCGGGUGUGAAAAUCCGUCGGAGCUUAACUCCGAAACUGCAUUCGAUACUGACCGUGCUUGAGGGACUGGAGAGGAGACUGGAAUUUACGGUGUAGCGGUGAAAUGCGUAGAUAUCGUAAGGGAAGACCAGUCGGCGAAGGCAGCUUGCUGGGACGGUACUGACGCUGAGACGCGAAAGCGUGGGGAGCAAACAGG
rnacentral:rRNA from 1 species